CCUCCGGGGCUCAACAAACCUCGGUGCGCGGCUCGCGCGGUCGUGCUCUGGUUUCGUCUCCUUUGCCUUUCGCGCACGCCAAAGCUAUCGCUGCUGGCGGCUCUCCUCUUCCGCUUGCUCUCCUCCCUCGUUUGGGCGUCCGGAGUCCGGGUGGAGAAGAAGAACACUUUGCUGGUGUGAGAGGGUGAAGCUGCCAGCAUGAUCUGGCUGCUCAAACGCCGGCCUCUGAAGUGCCUGGAGACGCUUCGCCAGAUCAUGUUGUAGCUUCACCCUCUCGCAACCAGCAAAUUGGUGCGUCUCGUGUGGAGGCUGUCUGUUAAGUUUCUUCACCGGUCUAUGCUGGUUGAAUCUUCAAGAGCUCACAUUUGCAUAAGAGUAGGAUGCUGCUUCUUCGGCUCUCUGCCCAGUGCCUACUAAACAAAGCCUAUAUCUCCAUAUUUCUAAUAUGAUCAAAACUACCAGAAAAGGGAACAAGAACGAAACGUGUACCAAUCAACAUAGAUAUUUUAAGGAGCAUACCUUGC